rnacentral:rRNA from 1 species
GACGAACGCUGGCGGCGUGCUUAACACAUGCAAGUCGAGCGGUAAGGCCCUUUCGGGGGUACACGAGCGGCGAACGGGUGAGUAACACGUGGGUGACCUGCCUCUAGCUCUGGGAUAAGCCUGGGAAGCUGGGUCUAAUACCGGAUAUGACCUCGCGGUGCAUGUUGCGGGGUGGAAAGCCUUGUGCGGCUAGGGAUGGGCCCGCGGCCUAUCAGCUUGUUGGUGGGGUGAUGGCCACCAAGGCGACGACGGGUAGCCGGCCUGAGAGGGCGACCGGCCACACUGGGACUGAGACACGGCCCAGACUCCUACGGGAGGCAGCAGUGGGGAAUUUUGGACAAUGGGCGAAAGCCUGAUCCAGCCAUGCCGCGUGCGGGAAGAAGGCC